GACAGAGGGUGCGAAACGUUGUUCGGAAUUACUGGGCGUAAAGGGCGCGUAGGCGGCCACCUAAGUCAGACGUGAAAUCCCUCGGCUCAACCGGGGAACUGCGUCUGAUACUGGGUGGCUUGAAUUCGGGAGAGGGAUGCGGAAUUCCAGGUGUAGCGGUGAAAUGCGUAGAUAUCUGGAGGAAUACCGGUGGCGAAGGCGGCAUCCUGGACCGGCAUUGACGCUGAGGAGCGAAAGCCAGGGGAGCAAACGGG
rnacentral:rRNA from 1 species